CCUACGGGCGGCUGCAGUGGGGAAUAUUGGACAAUGGGGGCAACCCUGAUCCAGCCAUGCCGCGUGUGUGAAGAAGGCCCUCGGGUUGUAAAGCACUUUCAGUGAGGAAGAACGCCUGGUGGUUAAUACCCAUCAGGAAAGACAUCACUCACAGAAGAAGCACCGGCUAACUCCGUGCCAGCAGCCGCGGUAAUACGGAGGGUGCGAGCGUUAAUCGGAAUUACUGGGCGUAAAGCGCGCGUAGGUGGCUUGAUAAGCCGGUUGUGAAAGCCCCGGGCUCAACCUGGGAACGGCAUCCGGAACUGUCAAGCUAGAGUGCAGGAGAGGAAGGUAGAAUUCCCGGUGUAGCGGUGAAAUGCGUAGAGAUCGGGAGGAAUACCAGUGGCGAAGGCGGCCUUCUGGACUGACACUGACACUGAGGUGCGAAAGCGUGGGUAGCAAACAGGAUUAGAUCCCCGGUAGUC
rnacentral:rRNA from 1 species